GACGUAGGGCGCGAGCGUUGUCCGGAUUUAUUGGGCGUAAAGAGCUCGUAGGCGGCUCGUUGCGUCGGCUGUGAAAACCCGCAGCUCAACUGUGGGCUUGCAGCCGAUACGGGCGGGCUGGGAUUCGGUAGGGGGGACUGGAAUUCCUGGUGUAGCGGUGAAAUGCGCAGAUAUCAGGAGGAACACCGGUGGCGAAGGCGGGUCUCUGGGCCGAUAUCGACGCUGAGGAGCGAAAGCGUGGGGAGCGAACAGG
rnacentral:rRNA from 1 species